UCACCAGGUCAGGACACGGUAAGGAUUGACGGACUGAAGGCUCUUCUCGAUUCCGUGGAAAGUGGUGCAUGGCCGUUUUGGUGGUGGAUCGAUCCGUCUGGUUAAUUCCGUUAACGAACGAGACCUCGGCACUCCGAAUAGCGCGGCGGACGUCGCGGCCUCCGGGCCGUCUCCGCACGAGCUUCUUAGAGGGGACCGUCCCCCCGCCGGGGAAGGAGGUGCGAGGCAACGACAGGUCUGUGAUGCCCUUAGAUGUUCUGGGCCGCACGCGCAUUACACUGACGCGUCCAACGGGUGACUCCCGACCCGAAGGGGCCGGGGAAUCCGCAAGGCGCGUCGUGAUGGGGAUUGAACGUUGCAAUUGUUGUUCACGAACGAGGAAUUCCUAGUAGGCGCGGGUCAUCAACCCGCGCCGAUUACGUCCCUGCCCUUUGUACACACCGCC
rnacentral:rRNA from 1 species